UGGUAGCUUUUCUAUUAUAUUUUCCAUAUUUCAUUAUUACAGUUAUACAUAAAAACGCACAUUGAAGUUCUUACCUAUUAUAUUAAGUACCAAUUUCGUUCAAAGUCCUACCAAAACCUAGUAUUAGUCCUAUGACUAUUCAAAAAGCACUUAUCAAUUAUAUAUGAAUCGAUAGGAAUUACUUUUUUGCCGCUUUAUGAAUGAUUUGUUUAGUCU